rnacentral:rRNA from 1 species
AACGAACGCUGGCGGCAUGCCUAACACAUGCAAGUCGAACGAGACCUUCGGGUCUAGUGGCGCACGGGUGCGUAACGCGUGGGAACCUGCCCUUAGGUUCGGAAUAACUCCCCGAAAGGGGUGCUAAUACCGGAUAAUGUCUUCGGACCAAAGAUUUAUCGCCGUUGGAUGGGCCCGCGUUGGAUUAGCUAGUUGGUAGGGUAAAAGCCUACCAAGGCGACGAUCCAUAGCUGGUCUGAGAGGAUGAUCAGCCACACUGGGACUGAGACACGGCCCAGACUCCUACGGGAGGCAGCAGUGGGGAAUAUUGGACUGUGGGCGAAAGCCUGAUCCAGCAAUGCCGCGUGAGUGAUGAAGGCCUUAGGGUUGUAAAGAUCUUUUACCCGGGAUGAUAAUGACAGUACCGGGAGAAUAAGCUCCGGCUAACUCCGUG